rnacentral:misc_RNA from 1 species
UAAUCUCACCAUGAUUGAUUUUAUGUCUUUCCAUGUGUGGACUUGGAUGCUGCUGUGGAUCCCAUGGCUCGUCUGAAAUGCCUGAGUGUACCCCGCUUUGCGGCGUAUUCGGUGUGAUAAAUCUUCACCGGAGUUGACCCUUUUUGGGUCGCGUCUCAUGAGUGUGGCUCUAUGCUUCCAACCGUCUGUUUUGGACAAUCUUUGACA